GGCAGAAUAGCUCAGUUGGAAAGAGCAGUGGCACAAUCACUUAGAGGUUCCCGGUUCGAUUCCGGGUUCAGCCA